AUUGAACGCUGGCGGCAGGCCUAACACAUGCAAGUCGAACGAGUGGCGGACGGGUGAGUAAUGUCUGGGAAACUGCCUGAUGGAGGGGGCUAACUACUGGAAACGGUAGCUAAUACCGCAUACCAUCGGAUGUGCCCAGAUGGGCUUAGCUAGUAGGUGGGGUAACGGCUCACCUAGGCGCCGAUCCCUAGCUGGUCUGAGAGGAUGACCAGCCACAUUGGAACGUAGACACGGUCCAGACUCCUACGGGAGUCAGAAGUGGGUAAUAUGGCACAAGGGGCGCAAUCCUGAUGCAGCCAUGCCGCGUGUACGAAGAAGGCCUUCGGGUUGUAAAGUACUUUCAGCGGGGAGGCGUUACCCGCAGAAGAAGCACCGGCUAACUCCGUGCCAGCCGCCGCGGUAAUAC
rnacentral:rRNA from 1 species